UGCACUUGACAGAACAGUGGGAAAUUCCAUGGCACACUGUGGAAUAUUUCGUAGAUUCGAUCUGAUCACGUAACCACUGCCAUUUGGAGCGAUAGUAAAAAGUAUUACACGCCAACUGACAAUCACACUCAGAUACACAUGUUCGAAUUCCAAAGGAGGAAAGAGCCUAUAAGCAAAACCAACGAUCUGUUGCUCAACAAAGCUUGAGCUUCUUUGGAUCUGUCAUUUGGGGCUGGUAAUGCUCUGUGACCUGAAGGACACCCACGGGAAGAGGCUAGUUGUCGCCAUGCACUCCAAGGGCUAUUCCAUUGCCUCUUGGAAUUUUACAGUGGUCUCUUAAAGCUCCACCUUGAAAAGGUGGAAAAUCUGGCCCAUUUUUCUGCAUUCAUUACAUGACAUUGAAGAAGAGCAAGUUCUGCCUUGGUGUGAGUUUCACCUCAAGGUGGCAGCAAACACUUAAGAUUUAUUUCCAUUGCUUGCUUGCUCUGUGUCUCAGCGCAAUUGGGUGCUUUUGGAGAUAAAUUCAUUCUGCUUUCUGUGUUUGUAUUCAUCAGUGAUCAGGAUUGGACUUCCCAAACUUUAAUGUGCACAGGAAUUACCUGGGAUUCCUGUUAAAAUUAGAUGCCCUUAUGGAACUCUUAGGAUGGGAUCUAAGAAUUUACAUGUCUAACAAACUCCAGGUGAUGGUGAUGAAGCAUGAUUGGCGUACUACACCAUGAGUAGUGUGUGUGUGGGGUCUUAUACGCCCCAAUACCUAGGGAAGGAGUUUUAAAAAUCAAGGGGUUGGAGUGUAGCACAACAUUAAACUCGUACUUAGCCUGCAUGAGAUAUUGAGUUCAAUCCCCACUACAAAAACAAAGCAUAAAGUUUUGCAACAUUGACGAAUUAAAAGGGCAAGUUUGAGAAUAUACAUAGGUUCACAUUCCAGUCCAGGAAAUGUGGCUUUAGUCCACUCACUUAAUCUACAUGGAAAUGCUUCAUCUUUAAAGUGGAAAUACUAAGGGUUCCAAGCCACAGCUUUAUAGUGAGACUCAAGUAAGACAGAAAUUCUGCUUCAACAAGGAAUGAGAUCCAGGAUUAAGGCAGUAUCCCAGGAAAAUAGAUGCAGGUGAGUGCCCGCAUUUUGAAAGACACUGCAAAUUGCAUACCUGAUCUGCUUUGGUCAGAUGGGCUUCCAUUAUGACAUGAUCUGUUUUUCCUCAUUUGUUGGAACUCCCAGGUAUUUGAAUGAAUGAAAAAAUCAAUAAGCAUAUGAAUGAGCAUUUUCUUUAACAACAGGCCCAUUUUUUUUUCACACAAUAUUGUCUUAAUCCUGCUGUACUCAGCCAAGUAUCUGGCUGAUUGUGAUUACUUUUAUGCUAGGAUGAAAAUUUUGUUUUUCUUCAUGCCUAUGUGUGUCUAUAUUGCAUACCUCUCUAGGAACAUACAUUCUUGUACAUUUACCAUCUGUAAUAGGCUGAAUGUUGAUUGUUGUGGCUUCCCUGGUAACCUAUAUAGAUCACAAAUGACCCUGAAGUCUGUGAUACAACUAGAAGGAGGAGGUGGGUAUAGGAAUUAGGGCUCAGAACAAACUGGGUCUGAAUUUAAGUAGCAGCUUAUGCACUGUGUGGUGGUUUAUGUCGGUGGCUCCCAGGCCUCAUGCGGUUGCAUUAUGCAUUUGUGAUUGGUUCAUUGUCUAGAGCUUGGAUUGAUGGUGUCAGUGCUACACUCACAUAGGGGUGGAGCCAGCAUACAAUGUAAUGGCAGGAAGAAGGCAUGUCUUGCUCUGUCUUGCGGGUUUCUGCCUUACUGUUUGCAGCUGGCAAAAACUGCGAUCCCGCCAUGCCACCCUGCUUGGAGCCAACUGACUAUGGACUGAAACCUCCAAAAAGUCUAAGAAAUAAACCUUUCCUUUCCCAACUUUGGGCAUCAGGUAUUUUGUCUCUCGACCAAGUAAAAAGUAACUAAGACACAUUGUUUUCUUUGGGCAGGUGACAAAGCCUUCCUGGACCUCAUUUUCGGAUUCCUAACAUAGGAAUGGUAACUGCUGCCUCCUAGGAUCAUUUUAUUCUUCCUGUAUUCAAUAAAUAUUUGAAUGCCUCAUGGUUGCCAGGCACUUCUUAGACAACAAGGCCACUCAAUGGACAACACACACAUUCUCUGACCAUGUCUAACUUAACACACAGUGAGAGAGGCUGGUAACAAGCAAGCAAAUGAGAAAAUAAUUCUAUCUAGUGGCAAAUGCUCUGCAGAAAAUAAAAAGAGGGUGAUAGAAUGAAGUGAUAUGAGUGAGAGGUACUGUAAGAGGGAGCCAUCUGGAGAGCCUGCCUGCCCAGGUCACUGGGCCCAGAGCCCAGCAUGGCAAUAGUUAAUGGUGUGGUGAUCUGUGUAUUCUGGGAAGAUGAACUAGUAAGCAUUAAGGCCCUGAAGUGGAAGAGGUCUUUGAAAAUGUGUCAGAGACCUGAGGUGCCAGGGGCAAAGAGAUGUAGAUUGUAAGCUGGAGAGAUAGGCAGGGCCAAGCCUGCUGAGUCCUGCCAGUCAAAUUAAAGCUUUUGGUCUUGAUUUUCAGAGCAAUGAGCAGUUGCUGUGGGUUUCUAAAGAGCCAGUACAUGCUUGUGUAUUCUGGGCAAUGGAAUUCAGCAGUGAGGAAAGCAACUAGAAUCCUUGCCCGUGAGGGACAUUUCCAGUAGAGGAUCCAGACACUAUGUUUACAGUAGGUCAGUUAUUUUCAGCACUGAUGUUGUGAAAAAAUUAAGAAACUGAUAAAAAGCAAUCAGGAGUGUCCCAAGUGUCCAAGAAGACUCUGUUCAGAUGACUCUCAAAGUGGGACACUUAAUAUGGAAAAGAAAAUCAACUAUGCUAAGCUCUUGGAGGGGUAAAGAAUUGUUUCAAAGACAAAAACCAUAAGGGCAAAACUUGAGAGGUGGCUGUUGGCAUGUUGGAAGGGAGAAGAAGACCAAUGUGGUAGGAACACAGGCAAUAAGGGAAAAGAUUAUGCUUUAGUUUUCAAAUAAUUGCUUGGAAAGUACAUCGAUGAGGAAAAAGAGUGGUAGGAAGAUAGUGACUUUGAAGAGCAGUGAGCUGAAAUUAAGCAGACAGAGGACAUUUAGGAAGUGUAACACUGAAGUGAACUUGCUGUGGGGGUGAGCAGAGAGGGAGAUGCUAGGCUGGGCAGUUAGAUAUUACAGUACUCCACAGAGGAGGCCACCGUGGCCUAACUAAAGAGCACUCAGCAGGGCUUAAAGUAAGACCACUAGUCCAAAGUGUCUACAAGUCUGGCUUCACAGGACAUGGCUGGGAGCUGUUGCCAGCCACCACUCCCUGGACAGUUUAAAUGACCUCUGUAAAGCCAAAAAUCUAUUAGAGUAGAACAAAGUAUGAUUUAAACAAGGUUUUCCUUGUUCUCAACAUUAUCCUUUUAUUGAGCACAUCAGAGAUUGCAUAAUCCUAUUUUGGUAACCAUAACAACAGUUGACUCCUAGGGAGAGAGCAAUUGAUUGAAACCUCUAAAUUAUAGAUUGCAAACAAGAAUCUCCCCUAUCCCUACAAGGAAGGGAAAUGUGAGACACAUCGGGGUAUAAUAGGGAAGGGUAGGAACUCUGACAAACUGUAGAACACAGGGCCAAUCAAACAUUAUUUUACUUCAAUUUUUAAAGAUGCCCCUUGUGCAUAUAAAAAUAUGCUUUGUAGACCACAGUUAGCUUGUAGGUUGUCAGUCUGCUGCCUCCAGAGGUACUUUUGUGUUAACGCUCCAGGCAACCACAUCUUUCCCAUCAAGGCUCCUAAAGCUGCCCUCCCCACCCAAGUUUUAACUUCUACUGAUUUGCUAACAUUCAGCUGGUUUUGGUGACUACAAGGUUGUAUUUCAAACUCAUCAUUAAUCUGUUGCACACUACUCUCUCUUAGCAACCUGCCAGCCCUCUGCUAGGGUGCUAUAAUGAGAGUCUGGGUCUUGACUCCAAACCUUAGUAUGAUAAACUUGUAGAGCAGGGCAGGACACUGACCUUAUGUGAACUGCAGCACUCACUAAACUGAGCACUCUUGAAAAUGAUUUUCCCAAGCUGACCAGGUCCUGAAGGCACAAGAGUUCAGGAGAAUUUUGCAUCUGGGAGUAUAAACUCGGGCCUUUGUCCAUAGCUCUAGCCAAUCUCUUUGCUGGGACUUUGACCCUUUAGAGGAAAGAUAUCAUUUUACAGAUUUCUCAGCGGGAAGUGGGCCAAGAGGGUGGGUGUACAUUGUGCCUAGCGACAGGGUGUUUCUCCUGAGAGUAGCCUCACCAAGACUGUGAACUCCGGAGAAGUUGGUGGGGACAGACACUGGAUGAAAGCAUCUCUGCAGAAGCGGCGGCUCUGAAGCCCAUCAUGCUGUGGAUCCUUUUGUGUUUUGGAUUGGUGGUUGCCCCAGAUGUUCUAGCUUUUCUCCACUUUGCCAUCGAGAAUGCCAGCCCUGUUCUGGAAAAUGCCUCUGAACACACCUGGGUAGCCACAAUCAACGUGUCACUCUCACCUCACACUUCUCUGGUCGGAGAUCCUGUUAUUGUUAAUGCGAAUCCCGUGAUCCAUCCAUUUGUGCUGUCGCGUAGAUCUACGUAUCUGUGGGACUUAUUCACCGUUGGAGUACCCAAGCUGGACUUUGAGAUUGUGGCACUAUACUCCCUGGUAAUCUAUGCCAAAGACGACCAUGGAGCCACAGCAUCACACACUAUUUCAAUUCAGAUCGAAGAUGUGAAUGAACCCCCCACCUUCACUGGAUCCCUUGCCCAGGGAGACCAAGUUACAGAGAUUUACAUCCUGGAGGACACUGCUCUGGACACAGUCAUUUACAGAGCAGUGGCCAUGGACCCAGAGAAUGCUGCUUUGGAGGUAAUUUAUGGUUUGGAUCAGAGAAUAUCAAUGCCUGGUAAUUUUAUGUGUGAUUGCAAUCAAAUCUAAAGCCAUACAGACAUUCGAAUCCCUCACACCACCAUUCAGGUUCCAAACAUAUCUUGUGCUGCAAUUAUCAGGACUUUUCAGGUGAAAAUAAUUGAGAUCUGGAUUGUUGGGGUAAUUGCUUUCUUUUUGGUACAUUCCAUUUUGUGCAGGCAGGCCCAGCCUAAUCCUGAGGUAACUUGUAACAAAAGAUGCCAAGCCAUUUCAUUUCAUUCGUUGGGAUCUGGCUGCAAAUACUGUAGAGAAACAAGCCAGCUUUCAGGCAGAAUUAAUGUGUGUUUCAAACUCCAGAUCUUAUCGCUAGGUUUUGUAAUGCCCCAGAGGGGAAGAAGCUAUUGGAGCUGGGGCCAAGAGACUUGGGCUUCAGCUUUCACUUUCCUAUAAAUCACUCAACGUUUCUGCUUUGCUGUUACAACUGCAAAAUUGAGGGGAACGCUAUCCCCUUUGUCUUCUGUUGUAUGGCUUUCUCUCAUUAUAAUCAAACAUCGUAAUGAGUACAAAUACAGUUUUUAAAAUGUAAACCAUCUUGCAAAUGGCAGUUUGUAUUACUCCCAAUUUUUGAUGCCAUAUGGAAUGGCUAUGUCAUUCUUAAACUAGAGUAACAUGUUUUUCAUUUUUAAUAUUGUACUACUUUCUCAAACUGGAUAAAAUGAGAGAGCUGUUCAUGUUGGUGCUGUAUACACAACAUUUACAAGUGAGUGGAAAUGUUUCUGGAUCAUUGCUCAAGGCAAUAUGCGUCUUAUGCAAUUUUCUUUAAGCAGUAGAUGGCCACUAAUAUUGGAGGCAUUGUCUGCAUGAUUUUCAAAAUUAUUGAAUGCACUAGAAUAAUUACACAAUGGAACACUAUGGUUGUCAAGCUCCCCUACACAUUUGUCUCCUCCUCCUCCUUCUCCUCUCAGUGGCACAAAGCCACAUCCAAGAUGGGACUGGGAAAGGUCACAGCUUCCUUUACAACAUGCAAUUAAACCAUGUAAUCAUGCAUAUUGCUCCAAAUCAACAUGUUCUAGAUUAUAGUACUAAAAACAGUGCUGAACAACUGUAGCCACAUAAGAACCAAAUAUCAUACUGCAAUUGCUUCCUUGGUGUUGGCUGUGGCAGCUCACCCACAAUGUUGACAUUUUAGCGUGGCAAAUACAUGACAUUCCAACAGGGUUUAGCUGUGGCUUUAACAUACACUCAGAAUGACAUAGUAGCCAAUUAGAGUAAGUAAUUUAUUUCAAAUGAUAGACCUGCAGAUGCUUGUACACGUAGAUUAAAGCUUAUGGGACUAGCUCUGUACUUUUCUCAGAAGAGAAUUUAUUGGUUAUAAUGUGGGGAACAAAUUGACACUGUUUUGGAGCCCCAUAUAUGAUGAUGAUAACAAUAUCAACGUACCAUUCACAAAAUGCAUUUUAUAAAAUCAUGUUCCACCAGGUAGUUGAUGAGAAAAGUGAAAGAUCAUAUGAUCUAAUGAAUUUUGGAAAACAUGUCAACAUAUCUCUUCUGAAUUUAAAGUACUUGGCAUAGCAAACACUGUCUAGAAUUGUCUAAAAGACACUUUUUGUUGAAUCGUUUGUUCUAAUUAUAUCUGCAUACCAAUUAAAAAUAUCAUCCAUUAAAGCUUCAUGUAAUAUUUUACUGGCAUUCCACAAAGUAGAAAGCUCUAUUUCUUUUUUCUUUUUUAAAUUUUAUUUUGAAAGUAUACAACAGAACAAGACAAAAUAAAGCCAAUUAAGAUCAUACAGUGAAAUUGGUACAGAACUUCACAGCAGGUUACUGGGAUAACAGUAAUAGGUAUCACAGUAUAUUUUGUUAUCUUUAUAAUAGUUGUUCUUUCAAUCAUGUAUAUCAAAUUGAGAUGAAAUAUAGAACACUAUAGAACUUAUCAAAACAGAAUAUUGAAUAGAGCAGUACCAUUAAUCAGAAAAGAGCAAAACAGUAAUAAAAAUAUUUGCCUUCAAAGAGAUGGUAGAAGGAAUUCCCCCUUAUUCGCUAUGGUGAACCUCCCAGGAGAUGCUCAGAUUUCUGGUUCCCAUUUGCCAAUGGGGGGAGAGGAGAAGAGGGGUAGGGGAAGUGGGAUAUUUGACUCUAGGCUGUGCAUCAGUAGGUUCACUAUUGCUUAGCAGGGAGGCAGGCUGGUUGUUUGGUUUCACAGGGUCCUAAGUUCCAACAUGGUGUGGAUCUCAGGAGCUGCUGCUGGUUCUCCCCCUGGAAGGGCCGCUGUCUGCCACACUGCCACCGAUUACCAGGGUAGAAAGCUCUAUUUCAAAAGUGAUAAAAUGCAGCCUUCCUCUGAAGGUGUUAUGAUGAAAGAAGAAAUUCCAGGUGUGGACAUUUCCUACAGAAUAAAUGUUACUGCAGUGAAGUUGAAGUUGGAUUUUUAUCUAUAUUUAGGUGCACCAGAUACCAGGGCCUGGGCCAUUCAUGCUUUAGAACCACUGCUAUGGUACAUGUUAAGGAUGCCUGACACUGUGAUCCAGAGCCUCUCAUCUUUAAAACAAAGGAAAAUGAACAAAAGGAAAAUCAACAGGUUUUCUUGGAUUCAUCAGGGCAACCUGCCACCCCAAGAUCUGGAGAGACAAGUGAAUUCAGUGUCAUGGCUACUUUCUGCCUAUCUGGGUAGUGGCUGUUGGAGCACUGUGCUGGCAGGAGGUUUUACAAGCCUGGAGGCUGAGUGUGGGCUAGAGUGACAGCAAGAAGCUCCUGGGUAUACCAGUGUCAGGCAGGGGGCACAUUUGCAUGAAUUUAUCACUAGGAAUUCAAACAGGUCUUUGCAGCAAAGAUCUAGGAGUGAGCAUUUAGCGUGUCUGGCAGAGGGAGGAGGAGAGAAUCAAGUGAUAUAUAUUCAGAGCCUUCUGCAUAACAAAAUUCUAUUCAUGAGGUGAGAGAAGGGAGAUUUUGAUUGAAUCUCAUUUCAUCUGGGACAUACACAUACACAUAUGUGUGCACAUAUGUAUUUAUUUUUUCAGGACUGGAGAUUUGAACUCAAGAGUAUACUGCUACUAAACUAUAUCCCCAGCCCCUAUUUAUUUAUUUAUUUAUUUAGGUACUGGGGAUUGAACUCACAACUGUGCACUUGCAAGGCAGAUGCUUAUGCCACUGAGCUAAAUCUGCAUCCCUGCAUAUAUGUAUUUAUAUAUGCACAUACAUACCCACACAUGCAUGCACACAGCACGUGUCUCUAAAUUUAUUUAAACUCCAGAAAGCCCAACACAAAGUAAAAAUUUUAAAAGCAACUAGAGAAAAUCUAUCAUAUCUACAAAAAGUAGUUAUAAAAACUACAGCUUCUCAUUAGAAAUCAUACAAGCAAAGAAAGUAGAAUGGGCCAGGUGUGGUGGGAAUGUGUAUAAUUCUGGCCCUUGAGAGGCUAAGGCAGGAAGAUUACCUUGAAUCUGAGCCAGCUUGGACUACAUAGUGAGUUCAAAGCCAGCCUGAACUGAAUCGAGCAAGAUCUGGUCACAAACCCAAAAACAAACAAACAAAUAACCAAAACCAAAACUAAAACCAAACCAAAUCACCCCUCAUAUUUCACUAAGAAGAAAUUCACAGAUUAAGAAAGAAUGGAAAACAAUAUUCCAUGCAACAGGAACCCAGAAAGAGCACUAAUACUUAAUUCUAAUUUCAAACAAAGUGGAUUGCAAUCCAAAACUGAUCAGAAGAGACAAAGAAGUUCACUACAUAUUGGUUAAGGGAACAAUUUAAUAGGAAACAGGAAGAGAUAACACUUUUAAGCAUAGUCACAGCAAAUACUGGCAAGCCCAACUUUAAGAAACAAAUACUACUGAACAUGGAAGACUGGACAAACAUUAAUGCAAUUAUGAUGGGAGAACCUCAGUAUUCUACUGUCACACACAGGUAGAAUCAACUAGACAAAAAAAAAAAAAAUGAACAGGAAAAUCAGAGUUAAACAAAAAUUUUUAGAGUGGUUUGUCCAGUAACAACAGAAUGCACAUUCUUCUCAAUGGCACAUGACACUUUCUUGAAAUAGUCCACAUGCUAGCUCAUAAAGCAUGCUUAAGUAAAUUGAAAAGAAUCAGUAUUACCCCAUGCAUACUAUCAGAUCAUAGUGCAAUGAAACUAGAAAUCAAUGGCAAAACAAACAACAGAAAUUAUGCAAUGCUUGGAAAUCAAGCAAUACCUUCUUGAAUAAUCAAUCAAUAACAGCAGAAAUCAAGGAGAAAAUUGGGCAGUUCUUAGAAUCAAACAAUAAACUAAUAUAACACACGAGAACCAGGGGACUCACUAUAAGCAGUCCUAUCAGGGACAUUUGUAGAGGUGAAAUCCCACAUGAGAGAAA